rnacentral:tRNA from 1 species
AAAGGUGUAGCUCAGUGGUAGAGUGCAUGCUCAGCAUGCACAAAGUCCUGGGUUCAAUCCCCAGUACCUCUG